UCCCGAGUGGCGCAACUGGAAGCGCGGCGGUCUCUGAAACCGUAGGCUGCAAGUUCAAACCUUGCCUCGGGAA
rnacentral:tRNA from 1 species